AGAGAUUUAGGAUAAAUUAGACCAAAGACCUUCAAAGCCUUAAGCAAGGGUGAAAAUCCCUUAAUCUCUA
rnacentral:tRNA from 1 species